rnacentral:rRNA from 1 species
AUAUCAAUAAGGCGAGGAACAGAAACCAACAGGGAUUCCCCUAGUAGUGGCGAAUGAAGCGGGAAAAGCUCAAGUUUGAAAUCCAGUGGCUCGUCCUCUGGAGUUGUAAGCUGAAGAGGCUGUGACCGACGUGGGCCGGGUCCAAUUCUCUUGGAACAGGGAGUCAUGGAGGGUGAGAACCCCGUCUGUGACUCGGAUCCCAUCGUCCUAGUGUCGCGGUCUCCAAGAGUCGGGUUGUUUGGGAAUGCAGCUCAAAAUGGGUGGUAAAUCUCAUCUAAAGCUAAAUAUUGGCGAGAGACCGAUAGCGCACAAGUA